AACGAACGCUGGCGGCAUGCCUAACACAUGCAAGUCGAACGAGACCUUCGGGUCUAGUGGCGCACGGGUGCGUAACGCGUGGGAACCUGCCCUUAGGUUCGGAAUAACUCCCCGAAAGGGGUGCUAAUACCGGAUAAUGUCUUCGGACCAAAGAUUUAUCGCCUUUGGAUGGGCCCGCGUUGGUUUAGCUAGUUGGGAGGGUAAAAGCCUACCAAGGCGACGAUCCAUAGCUGGUCUGAGAGGAUGAUCAGCCACACUGGGACUGAGACACGGCCCAGACUCCUACGGGAGGCAGCAGUGGGGAAUAUUGGACAAUGGGCGAAAGCCUGAUCCAGCAAUGCCGCGUGAGUGAUGAAGGCCUUAGGGUUGUAAAGCUCUUUUACCCGGGAUGAUAAUGACAGUACCGGGAGAAUAAGCUCCGGCUAACUCCGUG
rnacentral:rRNA from 1 species